rnacentral:rRNA from 1 species
CCAAUAGCGUAUAUUAAAGUUGUUGCAGUUAAAAAGCUCGUAGUUGAAUUUCGGGGUCAGUAGAUUGGUCGUGCCACUGGUAUGUACUGGUCUUACUGGCUCCUCCUUCCUGAUGAACCGUAAUGCCAUUAAUUUGGUGUUGCGGGGAGACUGGACUGUUACUUUGAAAAAAUUAGAGUGUUUAAAGCAGGCUAACGCUUGAAUACAUUAGCAUGGAAUAAUGAAAUAGGACGUUCGAUCUUAUUUUGUUGGUUUCUAAGAUUGACGUAAUGAUUAAUAGGGAUAGUUGGGGGGCAUUAGUAUUCAAUUGUCAGAGGUGAAAUUCUUGGAUUUAUUGAAGACUAACUACUGCGAAAGCAUUUGCCAAGGAUGUUUUCAUUAAUCAAGAACGAAAGUUAGGGGAUCGAAGACGAUCAGAUACCGUCGUAGUCUUAACCAUAAACUAUGCCGACUAGGGAUCGGAUGAUGUUAAUUUUUUAAUGACUCAUUCGGCGCCUUACG